AACCACUCCCCCCACCCCUCUCCUCACCCCCACUCAGCUCCUCUUACUCUCCUGGAGGGGCAGGCAGGGCUCACUGAGGACCCGCUCUCCCUCCAAGCUCCCGCUGUACCUCCCAUUCAGCACUUUCAAUGGGGACCAAGGGAGAGAAUGAGAGUCAGGGGCUGGUUUCAGCCAGCGAGCAGCAGGCAGAGAGAGAAAAACUGGCAAAGAAGUUUGCUUGUGCUGGGUCCCAGCUUUGUCAGCCAGCUGGGCCAGAUGCCACCGUGGAGGCAUCUGUCUCCACACAUCCUGUUUCUGGGGAUUGAUUCGCACAGCUGUCUCUUAGAUGGAAAGGAGGUGGCUGCCAACAUGACCCAGAGCAUCCUUCCAGCCCUACUUUAGGCAGGAUAGCUGAGUGGGAAGAUCCUGGGUUUUCAGUUGGGCAGGGAUUUCAAUCAGAUUCUGACACUCCCUAGAGGUGUCACCUUGGGUAAAUUGCCCAUAGUGCCAGAGAUGUAUAAUAGCGGUAAGAAUGUUUGGUUCAAAUCCCAGUUCUCCUUCCUAGCUGUGUGGCCUCAGACAACUUACCUGAUAUCUCUGAAUCUCAGUUCUCUGAAUCUCUGAAAUGGGGAUCCUACCUGUACUUAUUCUCGUAGGAUUGUUGGGAAGAUUGAGUGACUUAAUGCACAUUCAAGAGUUUAGAACAGUGCCUGGCACCAAGUGUAGUCUCUGACUGUUAUAACCUUCUCUGAGCCUGUAAAAUGGGGUAACCUCACCUACUUCUGGGGUCAUUCUGAAGGACCAAAGAGCUAAUGGAAGUGAAGCACCUAGUCAUAUGCCUGGCACACAAGAGAUGCUCAAAAAUGGCAAUCUUAAUGGAAGUAGGAUUAUAUAGUAUGAGUCCUUAGUCUGAGAACUACCUUGCGUAAUACACUUUAUGUCUCUGAGGCUCAACUUGGACACCUGUAAAAUGGGCUCUGGAGCUGACAGGUAUAGAUUGCUUUAAGCCAGCACCCAGGAAGAUCAUCCAACUGGAAAAGCAGUCAUCAGAGAACAGAGAAGCCUGAGCUCUUCAAAGAAGUCUAAGGUCAUGGAACCAAACAAGCUUCCUAUAUUCACACCUUUUCAAUUCAAAUAUCUCUUCUCUGACCUGCACCACAAGUUCUCCCUUCACACUCGCUUUUCAUAUCCGAUAAUUCUGAAAAUGACAUGUAUCUCUCCUGUAAGCCUUUAAGUUCCAAGAGAUAAGAGGCUGCAUCUGUCUUGUUCGUCAGCAUGUAUGGGGCCUUGCUUUGCAUGGUGGUUGCAUGCGCGUGCUUUUUUUGUGUUAAUUCAUUGAGCUCUUGGUGCAAUGCCAGUGCCCAGUAAAUAUUCAUUGAAUGCAUGAAUGAAUCACAGAGUCUUCGGUAGUUAUCCAGGCCAUUCACCCACUACAUUCCUGAAUCCUUGCCUCAAAAUUCCUACCAAGUGUCUGCUAUUAUUUGCCAACAAAACAGCUCUAGUGACAAGGAGCUCUCUACUGCCCAAGGCUGCCUGUUUAUUUUUUGUGUAGUUCUGUUGGCUAGAAAGUUCUUCUUAAUAUGGAGCUGAAAUAUAUCUCCUUGAGGCUUCCAGUCAGUUUCUUGUUCUAUCCUUAUGAUCACAUAAAUCAAGCCUACGCCCUCUUUGUGACGACAACCUUUUAGACAUUUGAAGUUAGUUCUCACACCCACCUCUUCUCCAAGCUAAUCACAAAAUCAUUGAUGAGACGCAUAUUUGUUGAGUACCUACGAAAGGAAUAGGCUAGAGAACACAAAGAUGAAAAGAUAUAAUACCUGUCCUGAGGUCUCCAGUCUUGGGGAGCCAGAGAAAUUUAAGAGAGAAUGUGAUAAGUGCUAGGGAUGGUGGAGACACAGGGGAAAGAGAGCCCAAGCCCACUCAAGGAGACCCUUGAGGAAGCCUCCACAGAGGAGUGGGCUAUAGAAUAUGCUCCAAGCAGGCCAGGGAGGAGAGGAUGUUCCAAGAGGAAGGGAGAGCAUACACAAAAAUCUGGCAAUAUAAGAGUCCAUGGCAUGGAAAGAGAACUUUCAGUAGUUCCAUAUGGCUAGGAAGACCGCAAGUCCCAGCUUGCUCAGAACAGUCCAGUUUGUGCCUGUUGUCCCAGAAAACGUUUAGUAUGUCCUCAGUCUCAAAAGUGGCCUAGAUUGGAUAAUAAAUUAUAUGGUCAUUCUAAGUAUGCCUGGGACAUACAGUCUAAGGGUGAAGUGGAAAUGGGGGAAAUGAAGGCAGAGGGAGGCAGAUGCUGAUCACAGGGGCCUUGUGGGCCAAGUUUACAAAAACAUUCAGUUAACUGGAUUUUGUAUGGUGUCUUCCCUUUGAAGUCAUCUUCUCCAUGUAUAAUCUAACUCAUAGAUAGAUAAGUACAUCUAUUGAAGAUGAUGGUUGCUACUGGUUACCAUUUAUGGAAGACUUACCAGGUAAGCACUUCCCGCAUAGCCUGGGGUGCGGUGAGCUGCCCCUCUGCUGACCCUGGUUCAGGUAUGUCCUGUAACUGCUUGUCUACCAUUGGGUCUUGAUUUUGACUUGUUUUUAUGAUUGUAAGAUUGUGUCCUGAGUCAACAUUAGGCAAUCCCCUCAGGGCCUUCUGUUUCCAACUAGAAACUUUGUAAGGCUUUCCUGGAGGGGGAUAGCUAGGGUCAGGAGUAGGCUUAUUAUCUACAAGCAAUUUGUUUUAAAGGACUGGCAUGAUUUGUAUAUUGGAGGGACUUGAAGAAUAUUCGAAUGAAUGAGUUUAUUUGGCUCUCAGAUGAUGCAAUAACCAAGUAAUGUGGAGUUAGAUAUUUGAACAGGCAGCCAGGGGAAAUGGUUUAAAUGUAAGAAAUACUUGAAUUACAUGGAAAGUGGAUAGUAAGAAUGGGCAUUUGAGAUUUUAUUUAUUUAUUUUUUUCCUUUUUCUCCCAAAGCCCCCUGGUACAUAGUUGUGUAUAUUUUUUUAGUUGUGGGUCCUUUUAGUUGUGGCAUAUGGCACGUGGUCUCAGCAUGGCUCGAUGAGCGGUGCCAUGUCUGCGCCCAGGAUUCGAACUGGCAAAACCCUGAGCCAUUGAAGUGGAGCGUGCGAACUUAACCACUCAGCCACGGGGCUGGCCCCAAGAAUGGGCAUUUGAAAUAUGUCUGAGUGAAUGAUUUUGUCCGUAGUGCCCCCUGCGACAUCUGUCCCUCAGUGGCAAGUGUUGGUUUGUACCCCAAACUGAAUGUAGCCGUCCGCUAGAGCAGUUCUGCAACGGCUAGCUUCAGGCUGCUUUUGCCCACCAGGAAGCCAGGUGAUAGUGGACCUCAGGGCUUCUAGAGGCUCCCCCAUCCCAGCCACACUUGGAUGCUGCAAGGAAAUAUGAGUCUACUAGGAACGGUCAUGUCAACCCACCCUUCUCAUUUGUCCUUUGUCAACCUAUUAAUGUUUGGGGCUAGUUUGUGGAUCUAGGUAUAUAAAUUUGCCAGGGCUGCUGAAACAAGGUACCACAAACUGCGUAGGUUGAACAACAGAAAUUUAUUGUCUCACAGUUCUGGAGACUAGAAGUCUGAAAUGAAGGUGUCGACAGGACUGGUUCCCAGCUAGAAACUUUGUAAGGCUUCCCAGGAGGAGGCUAGCUGGGGUCAGGAGUAGAUCCAUUAGCUAUAAACAACUUGCUUUAAAGGACUGGCAUGAUCUGCGUAUUGGAGGGACUUGUAAGGAGCCCUUCUGAGAGCUGUGAGGGAGAAUCUGUUCCACGCCUCUCCCUGAGACUGGUGGUUUCCUGGCAAUAUUUGUUGUUCUUUGGCUUUUAAAAGUAUCACCUGAUCUUUGCCUUCAUCUUCACCUGGCAUUCUCCCUAUGCACGUCUGUGUCCAAAUUUUAUCUUUUUAUAAGGACACAGUUAAAUUGGAUUAGGGACCUACCCUACUCCAGAAUGGCCUCAUCUUAACUAAUUACAUCUUUAGUGACCCCAUUUCCAAGCAAAGUCACAUUCUGAUACUAGGGGUUAGCACUUCAACAUAGGACUUAUUGGAGGACACAAUUCCACCCCUAAGACUGGGGUAGACAGAAACAGUGACAGCAUAGAUGCAUUACUAUUGAUUACGACUGCAACCAACUCUACUUUUUGGGAAACCAUCAACUCAGAAAGAAUCCCAUGGCUAGGGGAGACAUACCUCGAUCCUGCUGUAACAAGUCAAAGGUAUAGCCCGUAGAUGUGGGUCAGUUUGCCUUGAGCUUUGCAUGUGACUUCUCCCCAGAGGCUCCUUACUUGAGGGCACACACGGGACCCUGCUCACCAGGGUACAGAGUAGCCUGUGGCUCUGGAAACCUUGUUUUAAUCUGUUACCUGAUUUUCCAAGAGUUCAUCUUCAAUCUUAUGCCAUUAUUCUACCCUAGAACCAACUAUCUUCGUUCUCUCUGAGAUGAAUGCAAAAACCUUGUAACCAGUCUGCCCAUUUGGUUCUUCUCCAGCCGUUCUCCACACUAUGCAGAGGGAUUGUUUUAAAACACAAAUGUGAUACAGUCAGCAACUUGAUGGAAACGACCUCAAUGGCUGCUUGCUGCUCUCGAGAUAAAGAUCAACACGCUAUGUCCUACAAGGCCCUGAGGUCUCCAACAGGAGGCUUACCAUCUUCAUCUAGUCCUUAGUUGCAUUUUUUAAAAAAUAAAAUUGAACUGGCAAUGCUCUGUUUCUUGAUCUGGGUGCUGAACACUGGUACUUACCCUGUGAAUAUUCAUCAAGCUCUACUGUUUGAUUUGUGGGCUUGUCUGUAUGUACGGUAUAUUUCAAUUAAAAAACAAAACCUCAAAACAAUUGAAUGAGUUGCUUAAAGUUCUG
rnacentral:lncRNA from 1 species